CGAAAAUAGAGUAGCAGGGUGGUGUCUCCUGCGCUGACCAAAUGGUCGGUUCUACUUCGACCACG
rnacentral:ncRNA from 1 species